GGCCCAGGAGCCUGGCUUCCAGUAAGGGACCUUGUUUACCAGUUCAGAACAGGAAGCCCGGGUUGGACAUUGAACAGGGGCUCAAUUAAAAGGCAAACAUGACCUCACAGGAAAUAAGGCAGAUGUGAAAGAGCCUAGCCUGUGAGUCCGUGCGCAUGCGGUUCAAGAAUCAGCUGUACUCCUCCCUCCAUGGUGAGAACGGCCAGAAGGAGAUGUGAGCACUCAACUACAGCCACAGUGGCCUGCCCUGCCUGCUGCCUGCUGCCUGCUGCCUGCUGCCUGCUGCCUGCUGCCUGCUGCCUGCUGCCUGCUGCCUGCU